AUUGAAUGCUGGCGGCAGGCCUAACACAUGCAAGUCGAACGAGUGGCGGACGGGUGAGUAAUGUCUGGGAAACUGCCCGAUGGAGGGGGAUAACUACUGGAAACGGUAGCUAAUACAGCAUACCAUCUGAUGUGCCCAGAUGGGAUUAUCUAGUAGGUGGGUUAACGGCUCACCUAGGCGACGAUCCCCAGCUGGUCUAAGAGGAUGACGAGCAACACUGGAACGGAGACCCGGUUCAGACUCGUACGGUAGGAAGCAGUGGGGAAUAUUGCACCAUGGGCGCAAGCCUGAUGCAGCCAUGUCGCGUGUAUGAAGAAGGCCUUCGGGUUGUAAAGGACUUUCAGCGAGGAGGCGUGACUCGCAGAAGAAGCACCGGCUAACUCCGUGCCAGCAGCCGCGGUAAUAC
rnacentral:rRNA from 1 species